UUAAAAUGAGUUUAAAAUCACAUUUUUUAAUACCUUCAAACCACAUUCAAAUCGAACUGCAAAUAUACCAAAUAAUACUGAAAAUACCGAAAACUGCAGAAUCAGCUGCUCGCCGAACAGCACUCAGCGUGCUGUUGGACGCGAAAUGUUAGCCCAUUAAACCCAGGUUAUUUUUUGUCAUUCAUUGUUCAUACGUUCGUCUCGUCUGAUUUUCUUUUUAUAAAAACACAAUUAAAAUUUCAAACGAAUACACAUAAUGUUUAUAAAUAUAAUGUAGUGCAACACGUAUAUGUAUAAUAUAGCUUAAUACCAAGUGCAAUCCCCCGAAAUAUAACUUCAAAUGGCAAUCUAAUUUACGUAAAGAGAAGAGACAAAAAAAGAAACGGCGCGUGUGAAAUUUUUUCAAGCAAAGCAAAGGAGAGAAGUUGGAGCAACAUAAAAAAAGAGGAGAGAAAAAAUACAGCAACAACACACAAACGCGAUAAAUGAAUUAUGAAAAUAAAAGUCCCAAGUGCUCUUUUAGCAAUGAAAAUGUUUAGCCAAAAAACGAAAAGCAACAAAAACAGCGGCUUUAAGGCUGCUGGACAGGUUUCCCACGGCUAAAAAAAUGUAAAAUACGAAAAGGAGCAACACGACGGCGACGAAGAAGAAGAAGAAGCAGCAGCAAUGCGUGAAACGCGAAAGCAAAGUGAA